rnacentral:rRNA from 1 species
GACGAACGCUGGCGGCGUGCUUAACACAUGCAAGUCGAACGGAAAGGCCUCUUUCGGGGGGUACUCGAGUGGCGAACGGGUGAGUAACACGUGAGUAACCUGCCCUUGACUUUGGGAUAACUUCAGGAAACUGGGGCUAAUACCGGAUAGGAGCUCCUGCUGCAUGGUGGGGGUUGGAAAGUUUCGGCGGUUGGGGAUGGACUCGCGGCGUAUCAGCUUGUUGGUGGGGUAGUGGCUUACCAAGGCGUUGACGGGUAGCCGGCCUGAGAGGGUGACCGGCCACAUUGGGACUGAGAUACGGCCCAGACUCCUACGGGAGGCAGCAGUGGGGAAUCUUGCACAAUGGGUGGAAGCCUGAUGCAGCAACGCCGUGUGCGGGAUGACGGCCUUCGGGUUGUAAACCGCUUUCGCUCAUGACGAAGCUUUGUGUGACGGUAAUGGGUAAAGAAGCACCGGCUAACUACGUG